rnacentral:rRNA from 1 species
UGGCGACCGGCGCACGGGUGAGUAACACGUAUCCAACCUGCCGAUGACUCGGGGAUAGCCUUUCGAAAGAAAGAUUAAUACCCGAUGGCAUAGUUCUUCCGCAUGGUGGAACUAUUAAAGAAUUUCGGUCAUCGAUGGGGAUGCGUUCCAUUAGCUUGUUGGCGGGGUAACGGCCCACCAAGGCAUCGAUGGAUAGGGGUUCUGAGAGGAAGGUCCCCCACAUUGGAACUGAGACACGGUCCAAACUCCUACGGGAGGCAGCAG